rnacentral:rRNA from 1 species
UACGGAGGGUGCAAGCGUUAUCCGGAUUCACUGGGUUUAAAGGGUGCGUAGGUGGGCAGGUAAGUCAGUGGUGAAAUCUCCGGGCUUAACCCGGAAACUGCCGUUGAUACUAUUUGUCUUGAAUAUUGUGGAGGUAAGCGGAAUAUGUCAUGUAGCGGUGAAAUGCUUAGAUAUGACAUAGAACACCAAUUGCGAAGGCAGCUUACUACACAAUUAUUGACGCUGAGGCACGAAAGCGUGGGGAUCAAACAGG